GAUGAACGCUGGCGGCGUGCCUAAUACAUGCAAGUCGAGCGAGCGGCGGACGGGUGAGUAAUGUCUGGGAAACUGCCUGAUGGAGGGGGAUAACUACUGGAAACGGUAGCUAAUACCGCAUACCAUCAGAUGUGCCCAGAUGGGAUUAGCUAGUAGGUGGGGUAAUGGCUCACCUAGGCGACGAUCCCUAGCUGGUCUGAGAGGAUGACGAGCCACACGGGACCUGAGAAACGUUCCAGAUGCAUACGGGAGGCAGCAGUGGGGAAUAUGGGACAAUGGGCGCGAGCAUGAUGCAGCCAUGCCGCGUGUGUGAAGAAGGCAUUCUGGUGGUAAAGCACUUUCAGCGAGGAGGCGUUACUCGCAGAAGAAGCACCGGCUAACUCCGUGCCAGCAGCCGCGGUAAGUC
rnacentral:rRNA from 1 species